AAUCGAAGGGCAAAGAAAAGCUUACUUAGCCUCCAACGAUUGCACGAAAGUUAUUCAGUGAGUGGUCAAAUUUGUUACUUCCAGGUAAUCCUCAGCAGUAGAUGGAUCAGUGUGAUGGAGGGCUCGAUAGUGACCACUGGUAGAUACUUAUUGGUUUUAUGUGUAACAUUUAUUUCAUCUGUUAUACUUUAAAAAUUAUUUUCUUGGGAUUAUUCAUGUCUUUGGACUCGAA